rnacentral:rRNA from 1 species
UGCAAGUUGGAUCACCCUGAACCAACCAGCUAGCUUAUUUACUGAUAUAAUUUAACGAUAUUUAUAAUAGAACAAUGUUUAAAACCCCAAGCUAAACCAUUUUUUUACCUGAGUAUGGGAGACAGAAAAGGUCCAUUUAAAGCAAUAGAAAAAGUACCGCAAGGAAAGCUGAAAGAGAAGUGAAACAACCCAUAUAAGUACUGAAAAACAAAGACUAAACCUUGUACCUUUUGCAUCAUGAUUUAGCCAGCACCCUCAAGCAAAGAGACCUUUAGUUUGAUGCCCCGAAACCAAGUGAGCUACCCCGAGACAGCCUAUAUAAUUUAGGGCUAACCCGUCUCUGUGGCAAAAGAGUGGGAAGAGCUCCGGGUAGAAGUGACAGACCUACCGAACCUGGUGAUAGCUGGUUACCUGAGAAAUGGAUAAAAGUUCAGCCUCGCACACCCCAAGUCAAUAAACAUAUUAUUAAGAUAUUAAGAGAUAAGUGCGAGAGUUAGUUAAAGGGGGUACAGCCCCUUAAACAAAGGAUACAACCUUUACAGGAGGAUAAAGAUCAUAAUACAUAAAAUAUACUGUUCUAGUGGGCCUGAAAGCAGCCAUCUAAACAGAAAGCGUUAAAGCUCAGACAGAAAGAAGUUUAUUAUAUUGAUAAAAAAUCUUACUCCCCUAAUUGUAUCAGGCCAACCCAUGCCUACAUGGAAGAGAUUAUGCUAAAAUGAGUAACAAGAAGACCUGCUCUUCUCCCGCCACAAGUGUAAACCAGAUCGGACUAGCCACUGGAAUUUAACGAGCCCAACCUAAGAGGGUAAUGUAAGUAGUAAAGACCUCAAGAAGAACUGAAGGGAAGGAACUCGGCAAACACAAGCCUCGCCUGUUUACCAAAAACAUCGCCUCCUGCAAUUACAUUGAGUAUAGGAGGUCCAGCCUGCCCAGUGACUACGGGUUCAACGGCCGCGGUAUUUUGACCGUGCAAAGGUAGCGCAAUCACUUGUCUCUUAAAUAGAGACCUGUAUGAAUGGCUAGACGAGGGCUUAACUGUCUCCCCCCUCCAGUCAGUGAAAUUGAUCUAUCCGUGCAGAAGCGGAUAUAAUUAUACAAGACGAGAAGACCCUUUGGAGCUUAAGGUACAAAAUUCAGCCACGUCAAACGACUCCAUACAAAGCGAGAACUUAGUGACCAUGAAGCUUUACCUUCGGUUGGGGCGACCACGGAGGAAAGAUAAGCCUCCGAGUGGACUGGGCCUAAACCCUAGAGCCAAAAGAAACAUCUUUAAGCCACAAAACAUCUGACCAAUAAUGAUCCGACUAAUAUAGCCGAUCAACGAACCAAGUUACCCUAGGGAUAACAGCGCAAUCCUCUCCCAGAGCCCAUAUCGACGAGGGGGUUUACGACCUCGAUGUUGGAUCAGGACAUCCUAAUGGUGCAGCCGCUAUUAAGGGUUCGUUUGUUCAACGAUUAAAGUCCUACGUGAUCUGAGUUCAGACCGGAGUAAUCCAGGUCAGUUUCUAUCUGUAACGCUACUUUUCCUAGUACGAAAGGAUUGGAAAAAGGGGGCCCAUACUAAACGCAUGCCCCCCCCCUAAUUGAUGAAAACAAAUAAAUUAAAUAAAGGGAGGGCCCAAACCCCUGCCGCCCAAGAUAAGGGCA